rnacentral:tRNA from 1 species
GGUUACGUAGCUCAGGUGGCUAGAGCGUUGGCUGUACUACAGCUCUCCCCUUGUUGUCGUGGGCUCGAAUCCCACCGAGGCCG